rnacentral:sRNA from 1 species
UGAUACCAGGGUCAAAAGGUCAUGCGUUUCAUGCUUGCAUGAAAAAGCAUGACUUUGGGACCCGUAAAACAUGAGAAAGAAGCCCGAGUAGAGCGGAUUUCGAAUGUUUUUAGGAUUGCGGGAGCACAAAGUGCGGAGCAAUCCGUAGGUAUCA